GGUCACUCUGCAGUGACGACCCUCCCCCUUCCCAACCACUUCACACACUCACCCAACACAAACUCAGAGAUCCCUGCCAACACACACACACACGCUCACACACGCAUCCUUUCAUCCACAGACACACACACACACAUCUUUUCAUCCAUGGACACGCACACAUACGCAUCCUUUCAUCCAUGGACACACACACACACACACACACAAACACACAUCUUUUCAUCCAUGGACACACACACACACACGCAUCCUUUCAUCCACGGACACACACACACGCAUCCUUUCAUCCAUGAACACACACACGCAUCCUUUCCUCCAAGGACACACACACACAUCCUCGCAUCCGUGGACACGUACACACACGCUCUCACACACCCAGACACACACAGAGACACAAUCACUCCUUCACUUAGAGCCCGGGGGACAGAGAUAGAGUCGGAGACAGAAAGACGGAAAGACCCAGAGACAGAGCCCAGCGGGGGCCCACAGAGACAGAGAGGCGGAACUCUCCAGAGAGACAGAGAGAUAGGGCUCCCCCCCCCCCCCCAGUUGUCCCUGCGACCCCCAGGUCGGGAGCAGAGAGGCGAAACUCUCCAGAGAGACAGAGAGAUAGGACUGCUCUCCCCCAGAGUUGUCUCUGCGACCCCCAGGUCGGGAACGACGACAGGACAAGGGACAGCGACCCCUCCCACCCACCUGCCCAGGUCUCUCUCUCUCCUUCCCACUUUUCCCCUCCCUUUUGGGGGGUCGCGGGAGGGUGGGGGGGCCAGCGGGGAGAUGGACGUGGAGGUGGGGGCGGGAAAGGGGCUGUUGGGGGGGCGUGUGAGUGUGUGCGACCACCCUCUCUCCCGUCCCUCCCCCCGCCCCUCCCCAGGCGCCGCCCCCUCCUCCCUUUUCCCUGCCGGUCCCCCCCUCCCCUGGCCCUCCCCGUCCCCGUCGGGGGUCGCAGAGCCCCGGGAGCUUCGGAAGGAGCGGCCCGAGGCCCGGGGGGGGGGGGUCGGUGAGGAGGGGGGCCGGAGAGCCCCCCCCUCCCCAAUCUGGGCUGGCCGCGGGAGGAGCGGGGAGGGCAGACUCGGACCUGGGACCCUUCUUCCCUUGCUUCCUUCCGGAAGAGGGAGGGGAACGGAGCCUCUUUCAACCACUAGGACAAGGGACUUCUGUCUGUUUCCCCCUCCCACCCUUCCUGGCCUAUCGUGCCCCAACAACACCCCCUUUCACACUGGCGGCCUGGCAGCGGCUGAGGGGUUGCGGGGGAUGAGGCAGGGGCCCCUCCACUCCUUCCCCACCGACCUGUCACGCUCCUCCACCCCCUUCUCCACCCUCCUGGCUUCAGGGCUCAGGUGGGAGGUGGACGGAGCCCUGGGCUGA
rnacentral:lncRNA from 1 species